UACGAAGGGGGCUAGCGUUGCUCGGAAUCACUGGGCGUAAAGCGCACGUAGGCGGCUUUUUAAGUCAGAGGUGAAAUCCUGGAGCUCAACUCCAGAACUGCCUUUGAUACUGAGAAGCUUGAGUCCGGGAGAGGUGAGUGGAACUGCGAGUGUAGAGGUGAAAUUCGUAGAUAUUCGCAAGAACACCAGUGGCGAAGGCGGCUCACUGGCCCGGUACUGACGCUGAGGAGCGAAAGCGUGGGGAGCGAACAGG
rnacentral:rRNA from 1 species